CGAUGAGCCGCUUCGGUGGUGGAUUAGUGGCGAACGGGUGAGUAACACGUGGGCAAUCUGCCCUGCACUCUGGGACAAGCCCUGGAAACGGGGUCUAAUACCGGAUAUGACACACGGGGGCAUCUUCUGUGUGUGGAAAGCUCCGGCGGUGCAGGAUGAGCCCGCGGCCUAUCAGCUUGUUGGUGGGGUGAUGGCCUACCAAGGCGACGACGGGUAGCCGGCCUGAGAGGGCGACCGGCCACACUGGGACUGAGACACGGCCCAGACUCCUACGGGAGGCAGCAGUGGGGAAUAUUGCACAAUGGGCGCAAGCCUGAUGCAGCGACGCCGCGUGAGGGAUGACGGCCUUCGGGUUGUAAACCUCUUUCAGCAGGGAAGAAGCCUUCACGGGUGACGGUACCUGCAGAAGAAGCACCGGCUAACUACGUGCCAGCAGCCGCGGUAAUACGUAGGGUGCGAGCGUUGUCCGGAAUUAUUGGGCGUAAAGAGCUCGUAGGCGGCGUGUCGCGUCGGAUGUGAAAGCCCGGGGCUUAACCCUGGGUCUGCAUUCGAUACGGGCAGGCUAGAGUUCGGUAGGGGAGAUCGGAAUUCCUGGUGUAGCGGUGAAAUGCGCAGAUAUCAGGAGGAACACCGGUGGCGAAGGCGGAUCUCUGGGCCGAUACUGACGCUGAGGAGCGAAAGCGUGGGGAGCGAACAGGAUUAGAUACCCUGGUAGUCCACGCCGUAAACGUUGGGAACUAGGUGUGGGUCACAUUCCACGUGGUCCGUGCCGCAGCUAACGCAUUAAGUUCCCCGCCUGGGGAGUACGGCCGCAAGGCUAAAACUCAAAGGAAAUUGACGGGGGCCCGCACAAGCGGCGGGAGCAUGUGG
rnacentral:rRNA from 1 species